ACAUGUUGGCAAAGGCAAUUGUGGAGCACUACUACAGCACCUUUGACACCAACCAGAGCAGUUUAGCGAAUCUGCAUCAAGAAGGUUCCAUGUUGACCUUCGAAGGGCAGAAGAUCCAGGGUGUUUCCAGCAUCGUCACUAAGCUCACUUUCCUCCCUUUAUAGCAGUGCCACCACUCCAUUUCCACCAUCAACUGCCAGCCCUCCGGCAUCAACGUCAGCAUGCUUGUCUUUGUCAGCGGCAACCUCCAACUCGUUGGCGAACAACACAUCCUCAAGUUCAACGAGUAGGCAGCGACAAGUGUGAAUUUUUCACUUGCACAGCUUAUUCAGGUUAUCAUUCUUCUUUGCACUAGUGGCAAAAAUGGUGGAGGAUAUGAAGCAUCCAAAUAUGAAGUUAUUGCUUUUAAUGGGGGAAUAAUGUUCCUACACGGUAGAAUAAAUAGUGUUCCUAUCUCAGUGAUAUCAUUCUUAAGACAGUUGGGUGUAAUCUGGAAUGUUUUAGGUAUGAAAAAAAUUGUCUAUUUGAUUUUCUUUUUUCCAAAUUCUGUUCUCAGGAAAACCUUAUUGAAUAUCUAAUUUGAAUGCGGAAACUUUUAGGCGUUUUUGUUCUUA